rnacentral:rRNA from 1 species
AUUGAACGCUGGCGGCAGGCCUAACACAUGCAAGUCGAGCGGAUGAAGGGAGCUUGCUCCUGGAUUCAGCGGCGGACGGGUGAGUAAUGCCUAGGAAUCUGCCUGGUAGUGGGGGAUAACGUCCGGAAACGGGCGCUAAUACCGCAUACGUCCUGAGGGAGAAAGUGGGGGAUCUUCGGACCUCACGCUCUCAGAUGAGCCUAGGUCGGAUUAGCUAGUUGGUGGGGUAAAGGCCUACCAAGGCGACGAUCCGUAACUGGUCUGAGAGGAUGAUCAGUCACACUGGAACUGAGACACGGUCCAGACUCCUACGGGAGGCAGCAGUGGGGAAUAUUAGACAAUGGGCGAAAGCCUGAUCCAGCCAGGCCGCGUGUGUGAAGAAGGUCUUCGGAUUGUAAAGCACUUUAAGUUGGGAGGAAGGGCAGUAAGUUAAUACCUUGCUGUUUUGACGUUACCAACAGAAUAAGCACCGGCUAACUUCGUG